rnacentral:rRNA from 1 species
GACGAACGCUGGCGGCGUGCUUAACACAUGCAAGUGGUGCGACGAACCGGGCUUCGGCCCGGGGCGAAGCCGCGAACGGGUGAGUAACACGUGGGCAAUCUGCCCCGUCGAUCGGGACAACCCGGGGAAACCCGGGCUAAUACCGAAUGUGGUGCCGGCUCAUGAGAGCCGGUACGAAAGGAAGCUUCGGCCUCCGCGACGGGAUGAGCCCGCGGCCCAUUAGCUUGUUGGUGGGGUAACGGCCUACCAAGGCAACGAUGGGUAGCUGGUCUGAGAGGAUGGUCAGCCACACUGGGACUGAGACACGGCCCAGACUCCUACGGGAGGCAGCAGUGGGGAAUCUUGCGCAAUGGGCGAAAGCCUGACGCAGCAACGCCGCGUGCGGGAAGAAGGCUUUCGGGCUGUAAACCGCUUUCAGUAGGAACGAAACUGACGGUACCUACAGAAGAAGGAGCGGCCAACUAUGUGCCAGCAGCCGCCGUAA